UUGGAGGGCAAGUCUGGUGCCAGCAGCCGCAGUAAUUCCAGCUCCAAUAGCGUAUAUUAAAGUUGUUGCAGUUAAAAAGCUCGUAGUUGAAUUUCGAGACCGGCUUACUGGUCGUGCUUUUGUACGUACUGGUAUAAUCGGUUUCUCCUCUCUGACGAACUAUAAUGCCAUUAAUUUGGUGUUAUAGGGAAUCAGGACUGUUACUUUGAAAAAAUUAAAGUGUUUAAAGCAGGCUCACGCUUGAAUACAUUAGCAUGGAAUAACGGAAUAGGACGUUUGAUUCUAUUUUGUUGGUUUCUAGGAUCGACGUAAUGAUUAAUAGGGAUAGUUGGGGGCAUUAGUAUUCAAUUGUCAGAGGUGAAAUUCUUGGAUUUAUUGAAGACUAACUACCGCGAAAGCACUUGCCAAGGAUGUUUUCAUUAAUCAAGAACGAAAGUUAGGGGAUCGAAGACGAUCAGAUACCGUCGUAGUCUUAACCAUAAACUAUGCCGACUAGGGAUCGGAUGAUGUUAAUUUUUUAAUGACUCAUUCGGCGCCUUACGGGAAAC
rnacentral:rRNA from 1 species